UUUCGUCCGUGAAGUUCCCGGACAGAAAAUGAUCUAGUCGAUGUUGUCACUGUCUGUUUGUUGAUUCAUUGAUGAUAAGAGCUGAUGAGACUUUGGUGCUUUCAGUACACUGUCGUCUUUGUUUAAGAGUAAAACACGAAAUUCCGUCUAGAUCUAGAUAAUUCAAAAAUCAAGUGCAAACAUGUGCCUUGUGAAUAUUUCUGUGUAUAGUUUAUUGUUUCUUAUCUGUAUAUGUACAUACAUAUGUGAUUUAUUUGGAGUUGUUUACUAAAUUAAGAUGUUAGGCUAUAACUUGUUUUGAUACUUUGAAAAACAUCCAAUUUUCAUAGCGCAGCAUAUCGUGAGAUUAUUACGAUAUCCGAACAAAAAACUAUCGCCAACUUUUUUGAAAAAUAAUGCAGAUGGACGCGUAUCUCUGGUAGGGCUCAACAAAGUGUUGUCUGAAAUUUUUUAAAGGUGGAUUUUGUACAGAAGUUGGCUUGAACUGAAAUUUUUAAAUAUAAUUAUUGUGCCCUACAGAGUACAGCUAAAAAUUUGAAGUUUAUUGUCGGUCAUAUCGAGCACCAGAGGAAACACUUUUUUCUUGAAAAAAUGUGUGUUCUACCUAUUUACCAAGUAUUUUUCGUUUUGAUAUCAAAUUUUUAAUCCCAACACAAUCAGUAAUAUUUUUUAAUACAAAACGUCAUUUCAGCAAGGCAGUCUUUAUGUUGAUUUUUGUGAUUCUGUAAGGCAACAUUUACUUCCACUUUCUUAUCAAUUUUCAAGCUCAAAUGUCUAAGAGUAAGGGUUGAUUUCAUAUGACAGUGCUUGUCCGGUUGAAAUACGAAAAACGCCCACAAAAUCCAUGUUACUGAUAAUAAUGAUAAGUGUACAAUUGAAUGUCUCAAGAUCCGUUUUUCGCUAAAUGUACCGUACUUUUAUUUUUAUAAUUAUUAUUUGUGCACCUCACGGGGUUUAUCCAAAAAAAUACAGAAGACAUUUUAAUUUUCAGAAUUAGAGAUGGGCAAUUGGUCUUGCAGAUUGAUUUGCAUCAAACUUUCGACAAAAUUUAUAAUCCCCAGCAUGUCAUUUCUUGUACAUAGUAGAUCAAUUGUAUACAGGGUAUUUAUUUAUGUUUUUACAAUAAUCAUCUCUUUGAACAU
ensembl:lincRNA linc-119 ncRNA